rnacentral:lncRNA from 1 species
GUGUGUUACCAUGUGGGAAGUGCCCCUCCCCUUCUAGGAACAGGCCUUAGGCCACAGAACUCUGUGGGUCUCACAGGUAGGGAACUUCUCUGGAAGGCCACCCUUAGCCAUCACUGGAGAUGUGUGGUUCUCUCAAGAGACAGGCCAGUAUGCUAGUCACUGAGCAAAACCCUCCUGGGCUAGCGGGAAUUCUGUAACUGAUGGAUCCUGGACUUCCCUAAUAAUUAGGAAACUGUGUAUUUACUACGACAUGACUGUCUCUCUGGUGCAUUAUGGGAGGCACAUCCUGCUCAUGGGUCACCCGCUUUACUCAGAGAUAGUUAUAGACACAGGUAAGCCCAUACCUUGGUUCAAAGAGGUGGAUAUCUAGAGAGAUGGUUCUAUGGGUAAGGACACUUGCUAUAUAAACAUGAGCACUUAAGUUCAAAUCUUAGCACCCCUGUUAAGAAUCAGGGCGUGGCCAUGUGAGCACCUUUGACCUCAGCACUGUGCAGGGUCAGAGACUGGGCUGUUGGGGUUCAACAGGGUCCAGCCCCACUCUAGGUCCAGAAGGACCUUGUCUCAAAGGAACGAGGCAAAUAAUCAUAGGCAGGACACCUGACAUCCUUCACCCUUUGCACACAAGCACCCAAAGGCACAUGUGCACAUAGGCCACACGCAACACUCACAUAUAUACAUGCAUGCAUGCACAUAUACAUACACAUACAAAAACUAGU